UUCCUACGGGGGGCUGCAGUGAGGAAUCUUGCGCAAUGGGGGAAACCCUGACGCAGCAACGCCGCGUGAGUGAUGAAGGCCUUCGGGUCGUAAAGCUCUGUCAAGUGGGAAAAACAUCCUCUGGUGAAUAGCCAGAGGGUCUGAUGGUACCGCAAAAGGAAGCACCGGCUAACUCCGUGCCAGCGGCCGCGGUAAUACGGAGGGUGCAAGCGUUGUUCGGAAUUAUUGGGCGUAAAGGGCGUGUAGGCGGUUUGGCAAGUCAGAUGUGAAAGCCCUGGGCUUAACCCAGGAAGUGCAUUUGAAACUGCCAUUCUUGAGUAUGGGAGAGGAGAGUGGAAUUCCCAGUGUAGAGGUGAAAUUCGUAGAUAUUGGGAGGAACACCCGUGGCGAAGGCGACUCUCUGGACCAAUACUGACGCUGAGACGCGAAAGCGUGGGUAGCAAACAGGAUUAGAUACCCCGGUAGUC
rnacentral:rRNA from 1 species